rnacentral:rRNA from 1 species
AGAGUUUGAUCAUGGCUCAGGACGAACGCUGGCGGCGUGCUUAACACAUGCAAGUCGAACGGAAAGUGCCCUUUGGGGUGACUCGAGUGGCGAACGGGUGAGUAACACGUGGGUGAUCUGCCCUGCACUUCGGGAUAAGCUUGGGAAACUGGGUCUAAUACCGGAUAGGACCAUGGGAUGCAUGUCUUGUGGUGGAAAGUUUUUGCGGUGUGGGAUGGGCCCGCGGCCUAUCAGCUUGUUGGUGGGGUGAUGGCCUACCAAGGCGACGACGGGUAGCCGGCCUGAGAGGGUGUCCGGCCACACUGGGACUGAGAUACGGCCCAGACUCCUACGGGAGGCAGCAGUGGGGAAUAUUGCACAAUGGGCGCAAGCCUGAUGCAGCGACGCCGCGUGGGGGAUGACGGCCUUCGGGUUGUAAACCUCUUUCACUCAUGACGAAGCGUAAGUGACGGUAAUGGGAGAAGAAGCACCGGCCAACUACGUGCCAGCAGCCGCGGUA